ACUCUGUCCCCAAGCGCCCGGAGUCCCCACUAAAAGGAUUCCACAGCGCUUCCUCUAUUAUUAUACCGUAAAUCUUUUUAAAUUCUGGAACUAAUUAUAUAGAGGAUAUGUCUCAAUUUGUUCUGCAUUAAUGCCACAGCGGGGAUGGAGGCCAGGCCGAGGCGUUCAGAUAGGAAGGCCCAUGAAAUUGAUGAACUGAGGGCUGCUUCCAGUCCUGCGCGCACCAUCUGGAAUUCCAGUCUGAGGUUACAAUUAGAACUUCUGACCCCAGAUUCAACUUUGCAAACAAC
rnacentral:lncRNA from 1 species